AAUAGGUUUGGUCCUGGCCUUUCUAUUAAUUGGUAGUAAAAUUACACAUGCAAGAAUCCCCGACCCAGUGAGAAUGCCCUCUAAGUCUAAAGACUAAAAGGAGCCGACAUCAAGCACACUAGACAGUAGCUCACAACGUCUUGCUCAACCACACCCCCACGGGCUGCAGCAGUGAUAAAAAUUAAGCUAUGAACGAAAGUUCGACUAAGUUAUACUACUAAGGAUUGGUAAAUUUCGUGCCAGCCACCGCGGUCAUACGAUUAAUCCAAAUUAAUAGAUCACGGCGUAAAGCGUGUUUAUGUGUAACCUAAAAUAAAGUCAAAUAAAGCCCAAGCCGUAAAAUGCUACCGGCCCAUUAAGAACAAUAACGAAAGUAACUUUAUGACCUCAGACUACACGAUAAUUAAGACCCAAACUGGGAUUAGAUACCCCACUAUGCUUAAUCGUAAACCUAGGUAAUUACAUAACAAAAUUACUCGCCAGAGUACUACGUGCAACAGCCCAAAACUCAAAGGACUUGGCGGUGCUUUAUAUCCAUCUAGAGGAGCCUGUGCUGUAAUCGAUAAACCCCGAUAUACCUCACCACCCCUUGCUAAUACAGCCUAUAUACCGCCAUCUUCAGCGAACCCUAAAAAGGAAGCCAAGUAAGCUCAAUCAUACACCAUAAAAAAGUUAGGUCAAGGUGUAGCCCAUGGGAUGGGAAGUCAUGGGCUACAUUUUCUAACCCAGAACACUACGCCAACUUGUAUGAAAUCUACAAGUGUAAGGAGGAUUUAGCAGUAAAUCGGAAAUAGAGUGUCCGAUUGAAUUAGGCCAUAAAGCACGCACACACCGCCCGUCACCCUCCUCAAGUACCACCCACUCAUUAUCCAUAAUUACCCAGCACAUGUAUAAGAGGAGAUAAGUCGUAACAAGGUAAGUGUACUGGAAAGUGCACUUGGAGUAAAAACCC
rnacentral:ncRNA from 1 species